ACAAGCAGUGGAGUAUGUGGUUUAAUUCGAAGCAACGCGAAGAACCUUUACCAGGGCUUGACAUCCCUUGAAGCAGCUAGAGAUAGCUGUGUCCUUCGGGACAAGGAGACAGGUGGUGCAUGGUUGUCGUCAGCUCGUGUCGUGAGAUGUUGGGUUAAGUCCCGCAACGAGCGCAACCCCUGUGGUUAGUUGCCAGCAAGUAGCGUUGGGCACUCUAGCCAGACUGCCGGUGAUAAAUCGGAGGAAGGUGGGGACGACGUCAAAUCAUCAUGCCCUUUAUGUCCUGGGCUACACACGUACUACAAUGGCCGUUACAACGGGAAGCGAAGGAGCAAUCCGGAGCAAAUCCCUUAAAGGCGGUCCCAGUUCAGAUUGUGGGCUGAAACUCGCCCACAUGAAGGCGGAAUUGCUAGUAAUUGCAGAUCAGCAUGCUGCGGUGAAUACGUUCCCGGGCCUU
rnacentral:rRNA from 1 species